AGCUGCGCAAUUGACCUUCCCUUCCGAGCCCGGAAACGCCAAAACAUUGAGAUCCAACUCCAUGCUUCGCUCCUUGGGCCUCUCCCAGGUCUUCUUCAUCGUCUUCCUGUUCAGAAGUUUUGAACUCAAACUAACUCACUUGCAAGUCCAAGCACUGCUCCCAAUCCAGUGGCAGAGGAUCAUUGAGCUGGAGAUCAAUGUUGCUACUUUGGCUCACUGGAUCACUACUCCAUGUCAGUUGUUGCUUUCUCAGAUCCAAUUCCUUUCGCGACAUCGAUCGAGGUGGGCCAAGUGAAAGCUCUGUGUGCUCCAUGGCCAGUUUGAUCCAAAUAGAAUCAGAGUUGGAGAGGAUCCCAUGCUGCAUGCUCAGUUCAUCCCAUGUCAGCUGCAUACUUGUGAAACUACAGUGUAUUAACUCUCAUGGAGUAAUGAAUUGCUUCCAGUGGGUGGGCAUUCAUGAGCAGGCUCUCAAGGAAUUUAAUUCUGCUUAUGAAAUGAGAAGGAAAAAAAAAUGCGAAGUAGAUAAAAUGGUGGAGGGAAGGGACGCUCGCAAAGCAAACCUUCUCAACGACCUCCGCGCAAUGCCAGGGCAAAUUAAUGUGGUGGGCUGUGGCUUCUACGAGCUCACCAGUGCCAACAACUGCAAUUAAUCAUGGAGCUUGCCUCACUCUCUGGCCAUGAAGGCUCCAAGGCAUUCAAUGUUCGAUGACGCCAUUAACGCCAGUGGAUUUAAUGCUGCAACAGCCGACAACUUCUAUGCUGGAAGAUACUUGUAAAACGAUUGAACAGGGCAUAUUAAAAGAUUAGAGACUUACAAGUGAGUGUUUUAGGGAAAGGAGAAGACCCUCAGUGUGCUCUAGAAUUCACCAAACAAUAGAGUUGGACUUAGAGACAUGAUAAGAGGAAUAAGACAGUGUCUGUUUUGUUCAAAAAGGAUCCAAGGAAAAUCAUUGUUAAAAGAAAAUUCAUUAUGCUUGAUGGUUCCUUUUGGUUCCUCCUAUUGAUAUGGUGUUUUUCUAUAUCGCGCCGUGUCUGCCUCAUCGACAUCUUUCUGAACCUGAGCAUGCUCGCCAUUCUUGAAGGAGCUAUCGUCCGAAGGCCUUCGCCUGAAGAAAUGCCAUGGAGAAGUAAAGAGGUGGUCAUCAGUGGCGGAUCUAGGAGGGAGCGGGGGUGUGCUUGAGCACCUCCUUGCUCCCGGAAAAUUCCACCAGUAUGCUCCAGUCCGAGGGGCAAUGAGAAGGAAGACAAGCUCCAGCUUCUUUCUUUGAGUACCAUUUUUCUUUUUUGUCUAGAUCCGCCCGACCGCCACUGGUGGUCAUACGAAAUCAAGCAAAGAACAAAGGGUAGUUGGAUCUUCUACCAUCCUAAUACACGCCAUUUUCACAUAGCACAUAAAACAAGUUUGUCAAAAGGCCUAAACUUGCUAGUUUCUCGAAAGGAAUACACCAGGAACAAACAAGAAUGUUGGCUGGUAUCUUAGGCCUAGUGUGAGGUUGGAAGGAUCCAAUUCCAAGCGAUGUAGG